rnacentral:rRNA from 1 species
AGAGUUUGAUCCUGGCUCAGGAUAAACGCUAGCUACAGGCUUAACACAUGCAAGUCGAGGGGCAGCAUGGUCUUAGCUUGCUAAGACCGAUGGCGACCGGCGCACGGGUGAGUAACGCGUAUCCAACCUGCCUUACACUCUUGGACAGCCUUCUGAAAGGGAGAUUAAUACAAGAUGUUAUCAUGAGUAAGCAUUUUCACAUGAUUAAAGGUUACCGGUGUAAGAUGGGGAUGCGUUCCAUUAGAUAGUAGGCGGGUAACGGCCACCUAGUCUUCGAUGGAUAGGGGUUCUGAGAGGAAGGUCCCCCACAUUGGAACUGAGACACGGUCCAAACUCCUACGGGAGGCA